AUUGAACGCUGGCGGCAGGCUUAACACAUGCAAGUCGAGCGGGGGAAGGUAGCUUGCUACUGGACCUAGCGGCGGACGGGUGAGUAAUGCUUAGGAAUCUGCCUAUUAGUGGGGGACAACAUCUCGAAAGGGAUGCUAAUACCGCAUACGUCCUACGGGAGAAAGCAGGGGAUCUUCGGACCUUGCGCUAAUAGAUGAGCCUAAGUCGGAUUAGCUAGUUGGUGGGGUAAAGGCCUACCAAGGCGACGAUCUGUAGCGGGUCUGAGAGGAUGAUCCGCCACACUGGGACUGAGACACGGCCCAGACUCCUACGGGAGGCAGCAGUGGGGAAUAUUGGACAAUGGGGGGAACCCUGAUCCAGCCAUGCCGCGUGUGUGAAGAAGGCCUUAUGGCUGUAAAGCACUUUAAGCGAGGAGGAGGCUACUUUAGUUAAUACCUAGAGAUAGUGGACGUUACUCGCAGAAUAAGCACCGGCUAACUCUGUGCCAGCAGCCGCGGUAAUACAGAGGGUGCGAGCGUUAAUCGGAUUUACUGGGCGUAAAGCGUGCGUAGGCGGCUUAUUAAGUCGGAUGUGAAAUCCCCGAGCUUAACUUGGGAAUUGCAUUCGAUACUGGUGAGCUAGAGUAUGGGAGAGGAUGGUAGAAUUCCAGGUGUAGCGGUGAAAUGCGUAGAGAUCCGGAGGAAUACCGAUGGCGAAGGCAGCCAUCUGGCCUAAUACUGACGCUGAGGUACGAAAGCAUGGGGAGCAAACAGGAUUAGAUACCCUGGUAGUCCAUGCCGUAAACGAUGUCUACUAG
rnacentral:rRNA from 1 species